AGCAUAGCGAUUUGGGAUAAGUCCCUUGGAAGAGGGCAGCAUGGAGGGUGAUACUCCCGUCUCUGCUCAGGUUGUCUGUGUGUACGAUACGCUUUCUUUGAGUCGAGUUGUUUGGGAAUACAGCUCAAAGCAGGUGGCAAAUUCCAUCUAAAGCUAAAUAUUGGUGCGAGACCGAUAGCGAACAAGUACCGUGAGGGAAAGAUGAAAAGAACUUUGAAAAGAGAGUUAAAGAGUACCUGAAACUGUUGAAAGGGAACCGUAUCGUUUCUAGCGUGUAUCCUAUGCAUAUUUCAUUGGCGGUUGUAAAAUUGCUGGUGCCCUGUGUAUGGGUGUGACGUCAGAGUCAGUUUGAAUUGCGGGAGAUGGGUAGUGAGGAGGUGCGUCACUUUUUGUGAAAGUUACAGCUCGCUAUCUAGUAGCCGUGGUUGAGACUGAGGUGCC
rnacentral:rRNA from 2 species